AGCAUCCGCGGUAAUUCCAGCUCCAAUAGCGUAUAUUAAAGUUGUUGUGGUUAAAAAGCUCGUAGUUGAACCUUGGGCCUGGCUGGCCGGUCCGCCUCACCGCGUGUACUGGUCCGGCCGGGCCUUUCCCUCUGUGGAACCCCAUGCCCUUCACUGGGUGUGGCGGGGAAACAGGACUUUUACUGUGAAAAAAUUAGAGUGCUCCAGGCAGGCCUAUGCUCGAAUACAUUAGCAUGGAAUAAUAGAAUAGGACGUGUGGUUCUAUUUUGUUGGUUUCUAGGACCGCCGUAAUGAUUAAUAGGGACAGUCGGGGGCAUCAGUAUUCAAUUGUCAGAGGUGAAAUUCUUGGAUUUAUUGAAGACUAACUACUGCGAAAAGCAUUUGCCAAGGAUGUUUUCAUUAAUCAGGAACGAAAGUUAGGGGAUCGAAGACGAUCAGAUACCGUCGUAGUCUUAACCAUAAACUAUGCCGACUAGGGAUCGGACGGUGUUAUUUUUGUACCC
rnacentral:rRNA from 1 species